rnacentral:tRNA from 1 species
GGUUGCAGCUCAGUGGUAGAUCACUUGCCUAGCAUGUGUGAGGCCAUGAGUUCAAUUCUCAGCACCA